AUAAAUGUAAUUUUAAGGGAAACUGGCUUCCUAGCCAUGGAAGAGGAUGUUCUUGAUUGGCAAAGCUGUCACCAUUAGUUGAUACUGGACUGGGACUUAUACAGGCACAUUC
ensembl:snoRNA Gm26147 small nucleolar RNA SNORA24